CGCGCUGACCACAAUGCCGGCGGUGCGGUGCCGGGAAGGCGCAGUGGGAGAGCCUAACCCAGAACGCUGGUGACCUGGCUGUUGAGGGAGGGCGGCGUGAUCGGAGCGGAGGAACCCAAGGCAGUCGGAAAGCAAGGCUGCGGUGAAUAGCGGGCAGGCUUAUUUGAAAGCCUUUUAGGAGGAGCACUAAGACUCUGGCUAGACACUCUGCCGGGACAAAGCAUAUUGAGAUUAUUGUAAAAGCCGUGUAAGAGAAGAGGCCCUAGGGAGUUGAGACUGAAUGGCACCCAUGAGGUGCACUGAUGAACAAGUGGAAAAGAGCAAGAGGGACAAGGGUCCUGGAGCCCCAAGGCCAGAGGGUCUGAGGAGGCCAGAAGACAGCAUCCUAUCCCUGGAAACUGGAGUUACAGGUGUUGUGAGCUGCCAUGUGUGCUGGGACUUGAAGCAGAGAACAGCCAGUGCUAGCUUCCAGGGAAGGGCGUGUGUGAUAUCAAAGAAGGCAUGGGCUUGUGGAGAUGCAGCUCCGUAUGAUGGAGAGUCUUGGAUGUCAGCAUGACUACAUCUGGAAUUAACUAAAACACAAGCAGCUCUGUACAAUGAUGACCCCACUUUUAAUUUGUAUCUUUUGAGAUUGAAAGAGCCCAUCUCAAACUUGU
rnacentral:lncRNA from 1 species